rnacentral:rRNA from 1 species
GGAGGUUGCGAGCGUUGUUCGGAAUUACUGGGCGUAAAGGGAGCGCAGGCGGUUUGGUCAGUCAAAAGUGAAAAUCCGGGGCUUAACCUCGGACUGGCUUUCGAUACUGCCAGACUAGAGUACGCGAGAGGAAAGUGGAAUUCCAGGUGUAGCGGUGAAAUGCGUAGAUAUCUGGAGGAACACCAGUGGCGAAAGCGGCUUUCUGGCGCGUUACUGACGCUGAGGCUCGAAAGCGUGGGGAGCGAACGGGAUUAGAUACCCCGGUAGUCCACGCCGUAAACGUUGUGCACUAGGUGUGGGAGGUAGUUGACCCCCCUCCCGUGCCGUAGCUAACGCAUUAAGUGCACCGCCUGGGGAGUACGGUCGCAAGACUG